GUGAAACGAGGUGAAAGGAGCGAAACAAAUUGUUGCUAAUUUAUUCCUGUGAUUCCUGUGAUUUCAAAUACCAAAUUGAACUUCGUAUCUUAUAUGCAUACUGUCAGUCAGUCAUUCCAACAAGUUGACUUAGUGCUCAGUCAAUUUCCAUCCAUUAGAUCCUCAUGCUGUCAAAAGCCUAAAACUCAUGUUUUAAGCACACAUAUAGCGGAAUAUAAAUGUGCCAAGAUAAGGUCUUCUUGCUUAUGAACCAUAGGAUCUUUUCUGAAUCUCUCAAUUUUGGUGGUGUACCCUGCAACAGCAUGUUUGUUGUUCUGGCUGUUUUCACUUCGGUUUAGAAGGCAACCCAGCUAAGAGAUAGAGUUUCAGUGACAUGAAGAGUGUGAAGUGAACCACCUA